UUUUAAGCAGCGAACAACCUGUACUUGGAGAGCUUUUAAUUUAUGCUCCUCUCCCACUGCACCCAUCUCUAUAAAUCGAAGGGCUUUCCUGCAUCGCCCUCUGAUCAUUCUCAAUUAGGCUCAAUCUCUCUUUGCUUCUCUCCUCUCCAGACUCACUGAGAUCCCAGCUGACCUCCAGCCAUGAUGAGUUUUCACCUUACGUUUGCUGUUCUUCUCUUGCUCUCCCUGGCUGCUGCAGGCUAUGCAGAGAUACCCAUAGAGAUCUGUAACGUACUUCCCAUCUGUUGAUUUGCUGGCCUGCUCCAUGGAAUGUGCAAGACCGGGAAGACGUUUUGCAGCAUUGAACUCUGCGGAUGACAGCUACAGAAAUCGAAGAGGGUGCGCGAGAUCUAAGGCCGUAGUGAGGCUGCUCAUGUCCUGGUCUCCUUUUAAAUAAAAGUUCUGGCUGUUCAGUUUC